rnacentral:rRNA from 1 species
CUGACACAGGUGGCUGCAUGGCUGUCGUCAGCUCGUGUCGUGAGAUGUUGGGUUAAGUCCGUAACGAGCGCAACCCUUGUCCUUAGUUACCAGCACGUUAUGGUGGGCACUCUAAGGAGACUGCCGGUGACAAACCGGAGGAAGGUAGGGAUGACGUCAAGUCAUCAUGGCCCUUACGGCCUGGGCUACACACGUGCUACAAUGGUCGGUACAAAGGGUUGCCAAGCCGCGAGGUGGAGCUAAUCCCAUAAAACCGAAUCGUAGUCCGGAUCGCAGUCUGCAACUCGACUGCGUGAAGUCGGAAUCGCUAGUAAUCGUGAAUCAGAAUGUCACGGUGAAUACGUUCCCGGGCCUU